rnacentral:rRNA from 1 species
CUCCUACGGGAGACAGCAGUAGGAAAUUUUCGNCAAUGGGGNAAACCAUNACCGAGCANNNCCGCGUNAGUGAUGUNGGCNUUCGGGUUGUAAAGCUCUGUUGUAAGGGAAGAACCGGUAGAUAGAUAAUAUCUAAGUGGCGGUACCUNACCAGAAAGCCACGGCNNANUACGUGCCAGCAGCCGCGGUAAUACNUAGGUGGCGAGCGUUAUCCGGAAUUAUUGGGCGUAAAGGGUNCGUAGNCGGCCUGUUAAGUAAGUGGUUAAAUUGUUGGGCUCAACCCAAUCCAGCCACUUAAACUGGCAGGCUAGAGUAUUGGAGAAGGCAAGUGGAAUUCCAUGUGUAGCGGNANAAUGCGUAGAUAUAUGGAGGAACACCAGUGGCGAAGGCGGCUUGCUAGCCAAAGACUGACGCUCAUGCANGAAAGNGUGGGAAGCAAAUAGGAUUAGAUACCCUAGUAGUCCACGCCGUAAACAAUGUAUACUAAGUAUUGGGGAAACUCAGUGCUGCAGC